GUUUCUGCACAGCUAUAGGUCUCCUUGUUCUGCCCUGCCCCUUCUUUAGCUUGGAUAGUUAUGUGCCUUUCAGGGGUAAGUAGCUCACUUCUACUCUGUUUUGUUCUUGAGUAGUCACAUUUGGUUUUAUUCUUUCUGCGAACACUUAAGUCUUCCUUAAUUUUGCUAACUUAUUUUCUGUUCAUGUUUUGUAACUUCCAAACAUCUUUUUUUUUCUAAUUUUUUUGCUAUCUUUUUUUUUUAACACAUACUUUCUUCCUUUAUUAGUAAUAGAUUCUCGGCAGGAAAGACUGUUGACACAUAUGUCAUCGGUCUGAAAUCUUGACUUGCUCUCAUUGAGCUUUCAUGGCCUCAGGGAGUGGUACCUUCCGUAAUUGUGACUGCCUCAGCCUUUUAGAUGUUAAAGGGUAGUAAGAAACCACGGUAGUGACUGCUCUGGUGAAUAGACUUCUUGCGAAACAAGCAUAUUGGCCCAUGCCUGCAGUCCUAGUACACAGGAGAAUCAUGGUAAGUUCACGACCAGCUAGGGCUGCACAGUGAGACCACCUUAAAUACCUUUUUCAUGUGGACAGGCCAGGUAUGUACUCAGUGAUUAUAGUGUGUGCUUAAUAUGUAGUAAGACCCUGGGCUUGUUCCAGAACUCUUUUGUCUGUAAGUCAAAAAAAAGUACAUGACCCUGUACUGACUGUAGAGUCUAGACUAGCUUUAGAUUUAAGGUCAUUCUCCUUCCUGCGUUGGGUUCCUGAAUGUUGAAAUUACAAGCAUAUACCACCACUCCUGUCCUAGAACAAACUUUUGUGAGAUGGUCUCAAACUUAAGAUCCUCCUGCUUCUACCCCCCACAUGCUUGGAAUAUUGGUAGAGCACCAACACUGCUCUAGCUGGGUGUCAGAGUCGUUUGAGUCAGUGGAUAGUAUGUAAACUCAAUCUUUCAGAGGUAGUUGGUAGAUGUGGUUAGAUCUGGACCUAGAGGUUAAACUUGUCCUGCUGAAAGGUGAGCUGGUCAUGGCAGGAAUUCUACAGGAAGACCAAAUUUAGAGGAAAAGUAGACCUUGGUUUUGAAAAGCUUUCAGACUAUUGUGAUGUGCUUGGUACCCACCCACCAGGACAUCCAGCUGGUGAUUGGCCACAUCCAGCCAGGUUGCUGAGGCUAGUGGCAUACUUGCAGCCCAGGCAGCUAUCACCCAAAGAGACUGAUUGAACUAAUCCCAGCUUUUAAGUACCUGUCCCUGCCUAUCUCACAGCUGCAUUGCACACUAGGGCACCAAGCAUGCAGAAGCCUCAUGGUGCUGGCGUGGACCACAUUGCCUGUGUUUGGAAGCUUUGCAUUGAUAGUGCAGUGAGUUCUGGAACCCGGUCCGGUGGCACGCAGUAAGCCUCAAGUACUCUGACAGGGGGUGAGGAUGCUGAAGCUUGAGAGACUUAACCCGGAGCAUCUUUAAAUACGUUCAAAAUGCUAGAAAUGCAUUAUCCAUAGGAUAAAAAGACAACCCACGGGGUCUGAGGGGGUACUCUAGCAGUUAAGAGACUGACUGCUCUUUUAUGUGUGCUUUGUCUUUGACCCCAUUACAGAUGGUUGUGUGGUUGCUGGACUUGAACUCAGUGUGCCUAACCACUGAGCCAUCUCUCCAACCCAUGGACUUGGGUUUUUAAAAGACUCAGAGUUCGGUGGUUGGGUUGUGGAAGACUAGAGCACAGUCAAGAAUGUUUUAAGAGUUGACAGUAAAGAAAACAAA
rnacentral:lncRNA from 1 species